rnacentral:tRNA from 1 species
AAAAUUUUAAGUUAAAUAAACUUUCAACCUUCAAAGUUAAAUAUAUAAAUAAAUUGAUUUAUAAAUUUUA